AGUCGAGCGAGUCUGCCUUGAAGAUCGGAGUGCUUGCACUCUGUGAAACAAGAUACAGGCUAGCGGCGGACGGGUGAGUAACACGUGGGUAACCUGCCCAAGAGAUCGGGAUAACACCUGGAAACAGAUGCUAAUACCGGAUAACAACAGAUGAUGCCUAUCAACUGUUUAAAAGAUGGUUCUGCUAUCACUCUUGGAUGGACCUGCGGUGCAUUAGCUAGUUGGUAGGGUAACGGCCUACCAAGGCGAUGAUGCAUAGCCGAGUUGAGAGACUGAUCGGCCACAUUGGGACUGAGACACGGCCCAAACUCCUACGGGAGGCAGCAGUAGGGAAUCUUCCACAAUGGACGCAAGUCUGAUGGAGCAACGCCGCGUGAGUGAAGAAGGGUUUCGGCUCGUAAAGCUCUGUUGUUGGUGAAGAAGGACGGGGGUAGUAACUGACCUUUGUUUGACGGUAAUCAAUUAGAAAGUCACGGCUAACUACGUGCCAGCAGCCGCGGUAAUACGUAGGUGGCAAGCGUUGUCCGGAUUUAUUGGGCGUAAAGCGAGUGCAGGCGGUUCGAUAAGUCUGAUGUGAAAGCCCUCGGCUCAACCGGAGAAUUGCAUCAGAAACUGUCGAGCUUGAGUACAGAAGAGGAGAGUGGAACUCCAUGUGUAGCGGUGAAAUGCGUAGAUAUAUGGAAGAACACCGGUGGCGAAGGCGGCUCUCUGGUCUGUUACUGACGCUGAGGCUCGAAAGCAUGGGUAGCGAACAGGAUUAGAUACCCUGGUAGUCCAUGCCGUAAACGAUGAGUGCUAAGUGUUGGGAGGUUUCCGCCUCUCAGUGCUGCAGCUAACGCAUUAAGCACUC
rnacentral:rRNA from 1 species